GCUCAUUUAAGCUGCAUAUACACUAAAACUGGAAAGAUACAGAGAUCCGCAUGGCCCCUGUGCAAGGAUAACACCCAACUCGGUGACGCGUUCUGUAUUUUU